rnacentral:tRNA from 1 species
AGGGUAAUAGCUCAAUAGUAGAGCACAUGCUUAGCAUACACGAGGUCCUGGGUUCAAUCCCCUGUACCUCCA